AACAAAUUAUUAAAACCGCUUACAUUUAAGAAAAGGAGAUGGGAAGAUGGGAACAAUCGUUUGUCAGGAUUGCAACAGCACAAUCAGCCAUUUUGAGGAUGAAAAAGUCUCCACUUUGUACGGAAGAUGCUUAAAUUGUGAGUGUGAAAAAACAGAAAUCAAACGGUAAACAUGACAAGGGGUUAAGAUAAAAAGGGAAAAGCAUGCGCUGAAUCUGGCGCAUGCUUUUAU
rnacentral:sRNA from 1 species